rnacentral:rRNA from 1 species
AUGUCCACUGCAAGUGAAUGGCAGCAAGACCAUGAGGUAGGGAAGAAGAUCAAGAGUGAGUCCGCGGCGGAGGCGGACCGGAUGAUGGCGGCAGCACGGAGGAGUAGCAGCCUGCCUGCAGCAGGCGUCGGACCAGGAUCAACACCGUCGUUCAACACGAUGACCCCAUGUGCCGCGUGUAAGCUGCUCCGGCGGCGGUGCGCGCAGGAGUGCCCCUUCUCACCUUUUUUCUCGCCGCUAGAGCCGCACAAGUUCGCCUCCGUUCACAAGGUCUUCGGCGCCAGCAACGUCUCCAAGAUGCUUCUGGAGGUACACGAGAGCCAGCGCGGCGACGCGGCCAACAGCCUGGUGUACGAGGCGAACCUGCGGCUCCGCGACCCCGUCUACGGCUGCAUGGGCGCCAUCCUCACCCUGCAGCAGCAGGUGCACGCCCUCGAGGCCGAGCUCGCCGCCGUCCGCGCCGAGAUCCUCAAGCACAGGUACCGCCCUGCCGCCGCGGCGUCCGCGGUGCCCAACGUGCCCCCGUCCUCGCACGCCUCCCAGCUCCUCGCCGCCGGAGGCCACCGGCCGGCUGGGUCGCUGGGGCUGGCCGCGCCGGGGGCGGGGCCUGUGCCUUCCGCGUCGUCGUCAACCACGGUGUAUGCCACGGCGUCGAGCUCCACGGACUACAGCUCCAUCACGCACGAGAAUGUUCCAUAUUUUGGUUGA